CCGCAGUGGCCAUGAGAUCUCCCACCACAGCAGCCUAUAGUACUCCACGAGUCCAAGGUAAGGAGACACGAUGGACAAGUUGGAAAAGGGCGUUGCUGUGUUGGUUCUUGAUUCUGAUGGGUUUGAAAGAUGUUAAUUCAUUGUAAAUUGUAAUUUCUAAUGGUAUUUUAGAGGCUUUCUAAACGGAGUGUUGCGAGAUAUUUGGUGUUGUCUCGUAGGAGUAAAGUUGUCUUUUGAUAUGAAAUUUGAAUUUGGCCAGAUGCUUAUGCCGUUUCGAGGUAAAGUACUCCGUUACGAGGAAAGUGUGAGACGUCCUUUUCACUUAUAGCUUUUCUCUCUCCUCUCUGUUGUUCCUCUUUCUUGUCGUAUUUUCUCUCUCCUGUAUAUCAUUCCAAUUUUCCUCUUAGUCGAAAUUGAAUAUCUGAAUCUCCUUCGAUUAUUUUCUACAAAAUCGUCCCCCGACGAAGAGUUGUUGGAUUCAUAGGUUCUCCCCCGCUGGGAUCUCCGUCCACCUCCGUCAAAAUCGCGACGUCAAUCUCCUUCAGUAGCCGGGCUUUGAGUGUUUGCUGUUUUCACAAACCCUUGUAUGCAUUGCCUCCAAACAAGUAGGAGAAAGUGAACAGAUUCAGUGAUGAAGAAAAAGUCAAUUGUUCGGUUGAUGAAUCGGACAAAGUGGGGGGGUCCAUUAAAAAGAGAGGUACGCAAACCUGUGGGUUUGUCAUUGACUCUGAAACCUGUGGGCCAAUCGAAGAAAAUGUGGAUUGGUAAACGAAAGAGAAUUGAUGGUGAAGAAGAAGAACAUCAUGAUCAAGAACCUGAUGAUCAGGAAUCUGAACAUUCGAGCAAUGAGGAUUCUGAUUCUAGUUCUGGAGGAUUUAUGAAGAUGAUGAUGAAGGAGUACAUGAAGAGAAAGAGUAAGAAGAGAAAAGGGAAGUCGGUGGGUGGCGGGGGGAUUAAGAAGGGUAUUCAAACAGAAGGACAUAGAGUUAUGGCCGAUGGUGUAGUCCUACGGACACAUUAUGAUAACAUUGGGAAGCCCAAUGUUGUUUGUCGAGUGGAAAAGUUUUGUUAUCUGGUCAAGAAGUUCGAUCCAAAGAGACGGGAGCUGGUGGAAAGUAUGGGAUUUGGAGGGUUGUUGCAUUUGGAUAUGAAAAAUAUCCCGAGGCAGUUUUGUUAUUGGCUGAUGAGUAGGGUCUUUGGUGAUGGGACAGUUGUCUUUGGUGAUGGAUCAAUUCUUCCGCUAGGGCCAAACCAAGUAAGGUCCAUUCUUGGGAUUCCUAUGGGAAGGAAGGAAAUUCCUUUUGUUCUUGGCGAUGACGAAGACGACACCCAGAAGAUUAUGCGGGUGUUUGAACAAUACGGUGUUGGUUUGAAGCGAGGAACUGUGUCUCUCAAUCUUGCAGUGAGCAUGAAGAUGGUACUCUGGUGGAGUUGGAGACGGAAGUUGAUGAAGAGGACUUUAUGGUAGCUUUCCUAAUUGUUGCCCUAGGAAUGAUAGUCUGCACGACGACAAACAGUUCAAACUUGGCUGUAUCGUUGGUGCCCACAUUGGUAGUUGCAUCUGUAGCAGGAGAAUAUGAUUGGUACAAGUUCACAAUUGACUGGGUGCGCGACUCAGCUGAUCGAUUUCAAACAAAGUUCCAGAGAGAUGGAUUCCGUUGUGGCUGUGGUGGGAGCUUCGUGUUUCUUAUGAUUUUUUAUUUGGAUCACCUCCAUCGUGUACCAAAUAGAUGGGGUGUAUACCCCAAGCUGAAGGUUUAAGAUUCUGACCAUUUAAAAGCAGUUGUAGAUGAAGAUAGGAGGUCUGAUGAAGAGUUUGGCUUUUUGCCG